rnacentral:rRNA from 1 species
CAGUAGCGUAUCUUAAAGUUGUUGCAGUUAAAAAGCUCGUAGUUGGAUUUCUGGGAGGGUGCCAAUGUCCGCCGUCGUGCGUGCGCAGCGGCGCCCUUCCAUCCUUCUGUUAACGCCUCUUGGCAUUCAUUUGCUGGUGGCGGGCUCAGAUAUUUUACCUUGAGAAAAUUAGAGUGUUUCAGGCAGGCUAGGUCGGAAUACAUUAGCAUGGAAUAAUGGAAUAGGACUACGGUCUCGUUGUUGGUUUGAGGGACUGCAGUAAUGAUUAAUAGGGAUAGUUGGGGGCAUUAGUAUUUAAUUGUCAGAGGUGGAAUUCUCGGAUUUGUUAAAGACUAACUUAUGCGAAAGCAUUUGCCAAGGAUGUUUUCAUUAA